AGUGAACGCUGGCGGUAGGCCUAACACAUGCAAGUCGAACGGCAGCACAGUAAGAGCUUGCUCUUACGGGUGGCGAGUGGUGGACGGGUGCGGAAUACAUCGGAAUCUACUUUUGCGUGGGGGAUAACGUAGGGAAACUCACGCUAAUACCGCAUACGACCUACGGGUGAAAGCACGGGCGCUUCGUACCUUGCGCGAUUGAAUGAGCCGGUGUCGGAUCAGCGAGCUGGCGGGGGUACGGCCCACUAAGGCGACGCGCCGUAGCUGGUCUGGGAGAUGGAUAGGCCACACUGGGACAGAGACACGGGCCAGACUGCUACGGGGGGCCGGAGUGGGGUAUAUUGGACGAUGGGAGCAAGGCAGAUCCAGCCAUGCCGCGUAGGUUGAGAGGGCCUUCGGGUUGUAAAGCGGUUGUGUUGGGAAUGAAAAGCAGCAGGUUAAUACCCCGCUGUUCUGACGGUACCCAAAGAAUAAGCACCGGCUAACUUCGUG
rnacentral:rRNA from 1 species